UUAAGCGACUAAGCGUACACGGUGGAUGCCCUGGCAGUCAGAGGCGAUGAAGGACGUGCUAAUCUGCGAUAAGCGUCGGUAAGGUGAUAUGAACCGUUAUAACCGGCGAUUUCCGAAUGGGGAAACCCAGUGUGUUUCGACACACUAUCAUUAACUGAAUCCAUAGGUUAAUGAGGCGAACCGGGGGAACUGAAACAUCUAAGUACCCCGAGGAAAAGAAAUCAACCGAGAUUCCCCCAGUAGCGGCGAGCGAACGGGGAGCAGCCCAGAGCCUGAAUCAGUGUGUGUGUUAGUGGAAGCGUCUGGAAAGGCGCGCGAUACAGGGUGACAGCCCCGUACACAAAAAUGCACAUAUUGUGAGCUCGAUGAGUAGGGCGGGACACGUGGUAUCCUGUCUGAAUAUGGGGGGACCAUCCUCCAAGGCUAAAUACUCCUGACUGACCGAUAGUGAACCAGUACCGUGAGGGAAAGGCGAAAAGAACCCCGGCGAGGGGAGUGAAAAAGAACCUGAAACCGUGUACGUACAAGCAGUGGGAGCCUCUUUUAUGGGGUGACUGCGUACCUUUUGUAUAAUGGGUCAGCGACUUAUAUUCUGUAGCAAGGUUAACCGAAUAGGGGAGCCGAAGGGAAACCGAGUCUUAACUGGGCGUUAAGUUGCAGGGUAUAGACCCGAAACCCGGUGAUCUAGCCAUGGGCAGGUUGAAGGUUGGGUAACACUAACUGGAGGACCGAACCGACUAAUGUUGAAAAAUUAGCGGAUGACUUGUGGCUGGGGGUGAAAGGCCAAUCAAACCGGGAGAUAGCUGGUUCUCCCCGAAAGCUAUUUAGGUAGCGCCUCGUGAAUUCAUCUCCGGGGGUAGAGCACUGUUUCGGCAAGGGGGUCAUCCCGACUUACCAACCCGAUGCAAACUGCGAAUACCGGAGAAUGUUAUCACGGGAGACACACGGCGGGUGCUAACGUCCGUCGUGAAGAGGGAAACAACCCAGACCGCCAGCUAAGGUCCCAAAGUCAUGGUUAAGUGGGAAACGAUGUGGGAAGGCCCAGACAGCCAGGAUGUUGGCUUAGAAGCAGCCAUCAUUUAAAGAAAGCGUAAUAGCUCACUGGUCGAGUCGGCCUGCGCGGAAGAUGUAACGGGGCUAAACCAUGCACCGAAGCUGCGGCAGCGACACUGUGUGUUGUUGGGUAGGGGAGCGUUCUGUAAGCCUGUGAAGGUGUACUGUGAGGUAUGCUGGAGGUAUCAGAAGUGCGAAUGCUGACAUAAGUAACGAUAAAGCGGGUGAAAAGCCCGCUCGCCGGAAGACCAAGGGUUCCUGUCCAACGUUAAUCGGGGCAGGGUGAGUCGACCCCUAAGGCGAGGCCGAAAGGCGUAGUCGAUGGGAAACAGGUUAAUAUUCCUGUACUUGGUGUUACUGCGAAGGGGGGACGGAGAAGGCUAUGUUGGCCGGGCGACGGUUGUCCCGGUUUAAGCGUGUAGGCUGGUUUUCCAGGCAAAUCCGGAAAAUCAAGGCUGAGGCGUGAUGACGAGGCACUACGGUGCUGAAGCAACAAAUGCCCUGCUUCCAGGAAAAGCCUCUAAGCAUCAGGUAACAUCAAAUCGUACCCCAAACCGACACAGGUGGUCAGGUAGAGAAUACCAAGGCGCUUGAGAGAACUCGGGUGAAGGAACUAGGCAAAAUGGUGCCGUAACUUCGGGAGAAGGCACGCUGAUAUGUAGGUGAAGUCCCUCGCGGAUGGAGCUGAAAUCAGUCGAAGAUACCAGCUGGCUGCAACUGUUUAUUAAAAACACAGCACUGUGCAAACACGAAAGUGGACGUAUACGGUGUGACGCCUGCCCGGUGCCGGAAGGUUAAUUGAUGGGGUCAGCGCAAGCGAAGCUCUUGAUCGAAGCCCCGGUAAACGGCGGCCGUAACUAUAACGGUCCUAAGGUAGCGAAAUUCCUUGUCGGGUAAGUUCCGACCUGCACGAAUGGCGUAAUGAUGGCCAGGCUGUCUCCACCCGAGACUCAGUGAAAUUGAACUCGCUGUGAAGAUGCAGUGUACCCGCGGCAAGACGGAAAGACCCCGUGAACCUUUACUAUAGCUUGACACUGAACAUUGAGCCUUGAUGUGUAGGAUAGGUGGGAGGCUUUGAAGUGUGGACGCCAGUCUGCAUGGAGCCGACCUUGAAAUACCACCCUUUAAUGUUUGAUGUUCUAACGUGGACCCGUGAUCCGGGUUGCGGACAGUGUCUGGUGGGUAGUUUGACUGGGGCGGUCUCCUCCUAAAGAGUAACGGAGGAGCACGAAGGUUGGCUAAUCCUGGUCGGACAUCAGGAGGUUAGUGCAAUGGCAUAAGCCAGCUUGACUGCGAGCGUGACGGCGCGAGCAGGUGCGAAAGCAGGUCAUAGUGAUCCGGUGGUUCUGAAUGGAAGGGCCAUCGCUCAACGGAUAAAAGGUACUCCGGGGAUAACAGGCUGAUACCGCCCAAGAGUUCAUAUCGACGGCGGUGUUUGGCACCUCGAUGUCGGCUCAUCACAUCCUGGGGCUGAAGUAGGUCCCAAGGGUAUGGCUGUUCGCCAUUUAAAGUGGUACGCGAGCUGGGUUUAGAACGUCGUGAGACAGUUCGGUCCCUAUCUGCCGUGGGCGCUGGAGAACUGAGGGGGGCUGCUCCUAGUACGAGAGGACCGGAGUGGACGCAUCACUGGUGUUCGGGUUGUCAUGCCAAUGGCACUGCCCGGUAGCUAAAUGCGGAAGAGAUAAGUGCUGAAAGCAUCUAAGCACGAAACUUGCCCCGAGAUGAGUUCUCCCUGACCCUUUAAGGGUCCUGAAGGAACGUUGAAGACGACGACGUUGAUAGGCCGGGUGUGUAAGCGCAGCGAUGCGUUGAGCUAACCGGUACUAAUGAACCGUGAGGCUUAACCU
rnacentral:rRNA from 1 species